GACGAAGGGGGCUAGCGUUGUUCGGAAUUACUGGGCGUAAAGCGAGUGUAGGUGGUUGUCCAAGUUGGAUGUGAAAGCCCCCGGCUCAACCGGGGAAUUGCAUCGGAUACAGCCUGGCUUGAGGACGGUUGGGGUGAGUGGAACUCCUGGUGGAGCGGUGAAAUGCGUAGAUAUCAGGAGGAACACCGGUGGCGAAAGCGGCUCACUGGACCGUUGCUGACGCUGAGGUGCGAAAGCUAGGGGAGCAAACGGG
rnacentral:rRNA from 1 species